CAAUCAUCCUCUCAUUUGAUUAAUAUUUCAUCUCGGAAAUGACUACUAAAACUUACGGAGACUCUCGGUGUUAUGCAAAUUAUUUCUGGAGCGACCUGGAGAAUGGCUGUGUCGAUUAUCCCGACGAGGACGUGCAGGACAUCUUCCCUUACCAAUUUGAGACAGCUGCAACGGAUUCUUACGAUUCCGAUGAGUUAAAUGGAAAGAAUGUUGAACCUGAACAACAUCGCCUCGGAAACACGGAAUGAUGUCAAUGUGGAUUUUGUACCCAUAUGUCAACUGCCAAGGAGAGUGUAUGCUGCAGGUGUUGAUGCGAAGAGGGAGUCAUUCAACAAGGAACUGGCCUGUAUUGCUGAACACUCCGACUUUUCACCAGUGUGUUCAGACGUGUAUGUGCUCGAGACAGCACACUACCAAUACCGAUCCCAGCUUGGAGAAAUGAGGGCAACAAUUGAAGAGCACGUCAUUUUUUUAAUCCAUUUAAUCACCUAAUAUGAUAAUUCACAUCGUUAUUGGGUCAGACUGCAAGUUUAUCAUUAGUGAAUAAUUACAAACAUUUCCUGGAAUUACAGGCGGAACAGAUACACAACAUACAGACAAUUUGUUUGAUGGUGCUAGGGAUAACUAGGACACAAGGUGUGAGUCCCUCUACCGCCAUGUACUGCGACAAAGUUACGGCAUUCCUUUGCCUCUGAGGAGUGUCAAGGAUUCAAUGCACCUGAGUGAUGUCACAUAGAUGUCCGUUCCGCCUGAACAUCGAUCUGAAAUGUAGCACCACUUCUUCUUUAUAAGGAUGGCAAAAGUCACUGUACAAUGGAGGCGGUUAAACAGGCAACAAGCAUAGUAAUGGAUCGGAUGACCCCUGAAAGGUCAAACACGUCUCCUUCAUCAGGACUGAUUUAUAGUCUGGAAUAAAUGGACAAUAUUUGAAAUGUUAUGAGUGCUUUAUAUCCUAACAAAUAAAUUGUUCUCUAGUAAAUAUAUUGUUGUUUCAAUCCUGUUUGAAAGAAAAGUAACAAUUUUAUGCAAAAAUGUGGAGUAAACUUGCCAUACAAUUUUAUUGUGGUAUGAAUUAUGAUAGUGGGUUAUCUUUAGAAGUACAUUCUUACUAAAUAUAGGAUUGAUAAUGUAUUUAUAUACACAUUGAAAUAGGUUGUAUGGGUAUGUAAGCGUAUUUAAGUACCUAUUGAGAAUAACUAUGUGGAUAUGUAGAUGUAUUUAUGUACUCCUGAAAAUGGUUACGUGGGAGGGUAAUAAUAUUUUAUAGGUACUUGUAUUUCCUGAAAGGCAGGGACGUUUCUUAUCACGGUCUUGCAAAGCAGGGAGCUUCGGUACCAACUGCGAAAAGAUUUGUCCACCCGGUCGUUAUGGAAAAUUCUGUGCAUUGGAAUGCGUUUGUCGAACGAGUUAUUACUGUGAUAAGGUGAAGGGUUGCGUAUCUAAAGCCACCACGACAAUAUUUGAAGGAGACAAUGAUUCCACUAUAUUCACACAUCCUGGAUUUACUCAUUCCAUUGAACCAGUUACCUGUAUGGAUCGCCCGAUACCCAAUAAAGGAAUGAUUUCAAAAAUGAUCAUGAUUAACGGAAGCGUCAUCAUUGCUUUGCUUUUGGUGCUCAUUAUCAUUAUAUCUAUCAGAAAGUAUUUGAUGUUCAUGUACUGGAAAAGAAAAGUCAAGUUAGAUCAUGCUCCACUAACCAUGAUUGAUCCAGUUUAUUCGGAAGCUGAAGGGAUGUCUGGAGAUGAUAUCUAUAUAAAGCAAAACAAGCGAAACAACGAAGGUGAUUCUAGAGGAAAACAUCCGAGUUGUAGAAAGGAAUUGGGGUUAAUGUGUUUCAAAGUAUGAACUUUUGAAGAAUAAAUCACUACUGCUCAUCGAGAUAAUGUUUUAAAGGAAAACAAAGCAGACUCUAAGAAAAAUACCCUGGAGGUAAUGAAAUAAUUGACGAUGAUGUUAUUUCAAACAUUGUGUAAAUCUAUUUGUAUCAGUCAGAACAUACUCACUAACGAUGCUGCUGUAUGAUAACAUAAACUAUAGUUGUUAUCUAGUAAUAUGGUACUUUUAACAGCAUGGUUGGGGAAGUAUUUCCUUAAACAAAAUUUCGCACAAAAUCUGUACAUCUGUAUACAUAGUGUCACCAUCACAUUAACAACAUUAAAAUCUGAUAUACAUGUAUAGCGUCACCACUUCAUUGACAACAUUAAAUAUGUACAUCUGUAUACAUAGUGUCACCACUCCAUUGACAACAUUAGCUUUGUAUAUCUGUAUAUAUAGUGUCACCACUUCAUUGACAACAUUAAAUCUGUAUAUCUGUA